rnacentral:rRNA from 1 species
UACGUAGGCAGCGAGCGUUUGUUCGGAAUUACUGGGCGUAAAGAGUGUGUAGGCGGUGCUCUAAGUUCGGUGUGAAAUCUCCUGCUUAACUGGGAGGGUGCGCCGGAAACUGGGGUGCUCGAGCGUGGGAGAGGAAAGCGGAAUUCCUGGUGUAGCGGUGAAAUGCGUAGAUAUCAGGAGGAACACCUGUGGUGUAGACAGCUUUCUGGACCAUUGCUGACGCUGAGACACGAAAGCGUGGGGAGCGAACAGG